UCGUUAGGAGGGUUAAUCCUGACCUGUUCCUCCUUUGGGAGGGCAGAUUGGUAUGUGAUGAUUGGAGCUUGCAUGAUACGUGAUUAACGUUCUGCGUAAUCAGGACUUGCAACAUCCUGAUUUCUCCUAUCUGAU
ensembl:snoRNA U8 U8 small nucleolar RNA